rnacentral:rRNA from 1 species
AGCGAACGCUGGCGGCAGGCCUAACACAUGCAAGUCGAGCGGCCGUAGCAAUACGGCAGCGGCAGACGGGAGAGUAACACGUGGGAACGUACCUUUCAGUUCGGAACAACCAAGGGAAACUUUGGCUAAUACCGGAUACGCCCGUAAGGGGAAAGAUUUAUCGCUGAAAGAUCGGCCCGCGUCUGAUUAGCUAGUUGGUGGGGUAAUGGCCCACCAAGGCGACGAUCAGUAGCUGGUCUGAGAGGAUGAUCAGCCUCACUGGGACUGAGACACGGCCCAGACUCCUACGGGAGGCAGCAGUGGGGAAUAUUGGACAAUGGGCGAAAGCCUGAUCCAGCCAUGCCGCGUGGAUGAUGAAGGCCCUAGGGUUGUAAAGUCCUUUCGACGGGGAAGAUAAUGACGGUACCCGUAGAAGAAGCCCCGGCUAACUUCGUGCCAGCCGCCGCAGUAA